rnacentral:rRNA from 1 species
GCAGGCUGCAACUCGCCUGCAUGAAGUCGGAAUUGCUAGUAAUCGCAGAUCAGCAUGCUGCGGUGAAUACGUUCCCGGGCCUUGUACACACCGCCCGUCACACCAUGGGAGUCGGUAACACCCGAAGUCGGUAGCCUAACCGUAAGGAGGGCGCCGCCGAAGGUGGGAUUGAUGACUGGGGUGAAGUCGUAACAAGGUAUC